UACAGAGGGGGCGAGCGUUGUUCGGAAUUACUGGGUGUAAAGGGCGCGUAGGCGGCCCGCUAAGUCGAACGUGAAAUCCCCAGGCUCAACCUGGGAACUGCGUCCGAUACUGGCAGGCUUGAAUCCGGGAGAGGGAUGUGGAAUUCCAGGUGUAGCGGUGAAAUGCGUAGAUAUCUGGAGGAACACCGGUGGCGAAGGCGGCAUCCUGGACCGGUAUUGACGCUGAGGCGCGAAAGCUAGGGGAGCAAACGGG
rnacentral:rRNA from 1 species